rnacentral:lncRNA from 1 species
UGGGAGGAGGAAAAUGCAGUGCAAAUGACUUUAAAGUGAGGGAGAGGAGAAAGAUAAUCAUGAAAGUCAGGCUGGGUGUUGAUUGUUGGCGAGGAAUUUCCACUGAACAUUAAGCUCUUCCUGAAACUUUCAUCCAUCCAGAGGCCUUCCUGGCUGGAGGUCUGCAUGAUGAAAAGUGUCGUAGAGAGUUCUUGAGUCUGAAGGCCAAUGAUAUCAGAUGGAAAGUGGGAUCUACAACAUGAAAGAAUGGCGUUGGAAAUGAUAAAUAUAUGGGUAAGUGUAAAAUAUGUUUUAUUAUUUAAAAAUACCUUUGAGAACAUAGAUUCUUUAAUAUGAAAAGUAGAAAUAGUGUAUUAUGAAAUUUGUAACAUAUAUGCAGAGAUAAAAUACGAAUAUCACAUG